rnacentral:sRNA from 1 species
UGGUAGCGCCAGACCAUCAGGUGGUCUAG